UUGAACGCUGGCGGCAGGCCUAACACAUGCAAGUCGAACGGUAACAGGAAGAAGCUUGCUUCUUUGCUGACGAGUGGCGGACGGGUGAGUAAUGUCUGGGAAACUGCCUGAUGGAGGGGGAUAACUACUGGAAACGGUAGCUAAUACCGCAUAACGUCGCAAGACCAAAGAGGGGGACCUUCGGGCCUCUUGCCAUCGGAUGUGCCCAGAUGGGAUUAGCUUGUUGGUGGGGUAACGGCUCACCAAGGCGACGAUCCCUAGCUGGUCUGAGAGAAUGACCAGCCACACUGGAACUGAGACACGGUCCAGACUCCUACGGGAGGCAGCAGUGGGGAAUAUUGCACAAUGGGCGCAAGCCUGAUGCAGCCAUGCCGCGUGUAUGAAGAAGGCCUUCGGGUUGUAAAGUACUUUCAGCGGGGAGGAAGGGAGUAAAGUUAAUACCUUUACUCAUUGACGUUACCCGCAGAAGAAGCACCGGCUAACUCCGUGCCAGCAGCCGCGGUAAUACGGAGGGUGCAAGCGUUAAUCGGAAUUACUGGGCGUAAAGCGCACGCAGGCGGUUUGUUAAGUCAGAUGUGAAAUCCCCGGGCUCAACCUGGGAACUGCAUCUGAUACUGGCAAGCUUGAGUCUCGUAGAGGGGGGUAGAAUUCCAGGUGUAGCGGUGAAAUGCGUAGAGAUCUGGAGGAAUACCGGUGGCGAAGGCGGCCCCCUGGACGAAGACUGACGCUCAGGUGCGAAAGCGUGGGGAGCAAACAGGAUUAGAUACCCUGGUAGUCCACGCCGUAAACGAUGUCGACUUGGAGGUUGUGCCCUUGAGGCGUGGCUUCCGGAGCUAACGCGUUAAGUCGACCGCCUGGGGAGUACGGCCGCAAGGUUAAAACUCAAAUGAAUUGACGGGGGCCCGCACAAGCGGUGGAGCAUGUGGUUUAAUUCGAUGCAACGCGAAGAACCUUACCUGGUCUUGACAUCCACAGAACUUUCCAGAGAUGGAUUGGUGCCUUCGGGAACUGUGAGACAGGUGCUGCAUGGCUGUCGUCAGCUCGUGUUGUGAAAUGUUGGGUUAAGUCCCGCAACGAGCGCAACCCUUAUCCUUUGUUGCCAGCGGUCCGGCCGGGAACUCAAAGGAGACUGCCAGUGAUAAACUGGAGGAAGGUGGGGAUGACGUCAAGUCAUCAUGGCCCUUACGACCAGGGCUACACACGUGCUACAAUGGCGCAUACAAAGAGAAGCGACCUCGCGAGAGCAAGCGGACCUCAUAAAGUGCGUCGUAGUCCGGAUUGGAGUCUGCAACUCGACUCCAUGAAGUCGGAAUCGCUAGUAAUCGUGGAUCAGAAUGCCACGGUGAAUACGUUCCCGGGCCUUGUACACACCGCCCGUCACACCAUGGGAGUGGGUUGCAAAAGAAGUAGGUAGCUUAACCUUCGGGAGGGCGCUUACCACUUUGUGAUUCAUGACUGGGGUG
rnacentral:rRNA from 1 species